rnacentral:rRNA from 1 species
AGAGUUUGAUCAUGGCUCAGAUUGAACGCUGGCGGCAGGCCUAACACAUGCAAGUCGAGCGGUAGAGAGAAGCUUGCUUCUCUUGAGAGCGGCGGACGGGUGAGUAAUGCCUAGGAAUCUGCCUGGUAGUGGGGGAUAACGUUCGGAAACGGACGCUAAUACCGCAUACGUCCUACGGGAGAAAGCAGGGGACCUUCGGGCCUUGCGCUAUCAGAUGAGCCUAGGUCGGAUUAGCUAGUUGGUGAGGUAAUGGCUCACCAAGGCGACGAUCCGUAACUGGUCUGAGAGGAUGAUCAGUCACACUGGAACUGAGACACGGUCCAGACUCCUACGGGAGGCAGCAGUGGGGAAUAUUGGACAAUGGGCGAAAGCCUGAUCCAGCCAUGCCGCGUGUGUGAAGAAGGUCUUCGGAUUGUAAAGCACUUUAAGUUGGGAGGAAGGGCAGUUACCUAAUACGUGAUUGUUUUGACGUUACCGACAGAAUAAGCACCGGCUAACUCUGUGCCAGCAGCCGCGGUAAUACAGAGGGUGCAAGCGUUAAUCGGAAUUACUGGGCGUAAAGCGCGCGUAGGUGGUUUGUUAAGUUGGAUGUGAAAUCCCCGGGCUCAACCUGGGAACUGCAUUCAAAACUGACUGACUAGAGUAUGGUAGAGGGUGGUGGAAUUUCCUGUGUAGCGGUGAAAUGCGUAGAUAUAGGAAGGAACACCAGUGGCGAAGGCGACCACCUGGACUAAUACUGACACUGAGGUGCGAAAGCGUGGGAGCAAACAGGAUUAGAUACCCUGGUAGUCCACGCCGUAAACGAUGUCAACUAGCCGUUGGAAGCCUUGAGCUUUUAGUGGCGCAGCUAACGCAUUAAGUUGACCGCCUGGGGAGUACGGCCGCAAGGUUAAAACUCAAAUGAAUUGACGGGGGCCCGCACAAGCGGUGGAGCAUGUGGUUUAAUUCGAAGCGACGCGAAGAACCUUACCAGGCCUUGACAUCCAAUGAACUUUCUAGAGAUAGAUUGGUGCCUUCGGGAACAUUGAGACAGGUGCUGCAUGGCUGUCGUCAGCUCGUGUCGUGAGAUGUUGGGUUAAGUCCCGUAACGAGCGCAACCCUUGUCCUUAGUUACCAGCACGUCAUGGUGGGCACUCUAAGGAGACUGCCGGUGACAAACCGGAGGAAGGUGGGGAUGACGUCAAGUCAUCAUGGCCCUUACGGCCUGGGCUACACACGUGCUACAAUGGUCGGUACAGAGGGUUGCCAAGCCGCGAGGUGGAGCUAAUCCCACAAAACCGAUCGUAGUCCGGAUCGCAGUCUGCAACUCGACUGCGUGAAGUCGGAAUCGCUAGUAAUCGCGAAUCAGAAUGUCGCGGUGAAUACGUUCCCGGGCCUUGUACACACCGCCCGUCACACCAUGGGAGUGGGUUGCACCAGAAGUAGCUAGUCUAACCUUCAGGAGGACGGUUACCACGGUGUGAUUCAUGACUGGGGUGAAGUCGUAACAAGGUA